UGUUGCGCUGCUGUUUGCCCCUACUCCUUCAGUGCGACAGACAGCCUCAGAGCUGGUGGGGAGACAGCAUGCCACUGGAAAAAUUCGUAGACAUGGAAUUCCUGGAUCAAAUGGUAUGAAACAGUUUAAGUUUUCUUCCCCCCAACACCUAUCACCUAAUUUAUUUAUUAUAUGUGGUAUAAACAUUAUUUUCCAGCCAUUGUCUUCCUAUUAAUUUUUACCAUUUAUGGUGGUGAUUUUUUUGAUAUUUUACAGUUUUACAUGUUAGAUUUCCAUAUCUGACCAUUUUAAGUGUCGUGAUUUUUUUCUUUCCUUUGAUUAGUGUAUUCACCUGUAUUUUUUUCUAGUUAUUUAAUUGCUUCAUUUUUUACAAUUAACUCUUUAAUCCACCUAGAAUUCAUUUUGAUAUAUGGUAUACAGUAGGAUUUAAUUUUUUUUCCCCCUAAUAGGUCACCGAUUGUUUCAGCAUCACUUAUUGAAUAAUCCAACGCAACAACUGUUCUUCCAUUAGAUAGGGUGUAGCUUUCCACAGGUCGGCCAUUUUCUCUUUACCCAAGAUGGUUACAUUUCGCAAUGGUACUCCUACCUUCCUGCAGCUUCUGACAGCAUACUAGAGCACCAUGUUUGUGCUUGUGCGUUUCAAAAAUCCUAGGCACAUGCAGAUUAGGGCAGUAUUUUAAACAGGAUUUUUUUUUUUCAUUUUAAAUAUGUUAUGUUUGUCACAUUCUUGUUGCAAAUUAAAAUUAAGGAAUCCAAAUAUAUGAAACCACGGUUUCAGGUGUGCUAUUCCUCUUGGGCACACCUGAUAUCCCAAUUGUGUGUUUAAAAAAAAAAAAAAAAAUACCCCCGGGGUUAAAGUUCCUCCUUCAACCUCUUUUUUUUUUACUCUUCAGAUACUCAAAGAGUUAAAGUUGCCUCGACUCAGUUCUUGGAAUUUUCUAGAAUGAUGUAAGAGGGAAAUACAAGAAAUGUAUGAGGAAUAGAAGUAAAUAAUGUUUGCCAGCCUGUUGCUGGCCGUAGUCUCACGUAGGGAUUUAAAGGAGCUAGGGUGAGUCCUAAUCCAUGCCACCAUUGCCACUACCUCUUCUAGAUAGGGACACACCCCAAUGGGCCACCUCUUUUCACUGCAGGUAUAAGGCUUAAGACAUCAAGCAAGGAGUUUUUUAGUAGGAGAUGGGAUAAAUAUUGCCCUGAGAAAUCUGACCAUUAAAAUCACUUGCUACCUAUUACCAACCCUCUCCCGGGCUCCCAACGAAGCUUGCUUUCUCUAUUGACUUCUGCUCCGGGCCUCUAGCUUUACUGAUUCUGGGGUGAAAAAAAAGGGCGGGGGGGAGGGUGGCGCGUGAGUGGGAGGCUGCCUUGCCUGCGGUUAUUGCAAGGGGCUCCUUUGGCUCACAGCCUCAGUCCCAGUAGUUUCCUGACUUGCCGCAUUAGACUGUGUUUUGUUUAUGAGGAGGCUGGUUUCCCUGGCAAUGGCAGCUCGCCAGUGCAUGCGCAUUUGCUCCACUGCAGUAGCAGAAUGCGGCUGUGGGGCCAGGGGAGGGGUCCUGAGGGCCGCAGUGGCUGGAGUUAUUUGGCAGACAUGACGUCAGUUUUUCUGAGCUAAACUGCCAUCGUUACUGUAUAUGGAGCAUUUUUUUUUUUUUUUAAUAAAGCUUGGAAGGCUUUUAGCCACUCCUUUUCUUUCCUCCCAAAUUAACUGCUGUCUAUACGCUCACCAGUGACCACGAAGGCUUUCUAAGGUUUGAGGCCACCGAUGCCCUCAGGGCCCCAAGGGGAAUCAUAAUAGUAUGAGAACAGGAAACAGACUGCCUGGUUUCAGACCUUGGCUGCUUGCUAGUUGCAUGACUGUGGGACGGGUUACUUAAAUCUCUUCGUUUCCUCAGAUGUAAAAUGGGGAUGCUAACAGCCUGUUUAGAGCAGUGUCUGGCACAUAGUAACCAUUAUGUAAGUGUUGUCUAUUAUUAUUUGUAGAUACUAAGGGGGACUUGCCUGGAAGCAGACUUGUGUCCGCAGUAUACAAACACCCUUUAAUGCACACACUGGCCAGAUAACACAAACACACAUUUACCCCCACAGCACAUAGACUCUUCUCGCAGUACACACACUUGCCUUCCAGUACACAGACAUAUCCAAAGGCACACCGACAAGCACCACAGCAAAAAGAUGUUCCCCAGAACACACGGACACCCCACUCCCCGUAUCAUUAGACUCUCCCAGAGGCACAUAUGUACCCCUUAAUGCAGAGACUCACCUAAGGCGCACUGAUGCUCUCCGCAUGACACAGACUUGCCCCCCCAUAAGGACUCUACUAUGACACACAGGCAGUCCCAACAUCACACACUGUUCCCACAUCACACGAACCCAUCUUAGGAAACACACAGCAUACGGACUUACUCCAUAGAACACAGCUUCCCGGAGAAGCACACAUACUCUCAAGGCCAGUAGACUCACCCCACAGCACGCAGACUUUCUCCAGAGUGUAUAGCUUCUUCCCACAGCAAACAGACUCUCCCCAGGGCACACAGACACCCCGACGCCGCAUACUCUCACCACAGAUCGUAGACCCGUCCUAGAGCACAGGGACUCUUGCCAAUGAAACAGACUUUCCCGAGAAUAGACUCAUGAGACAGCUUGAAGACCCGCAUCAUGACACAAAGACUCUCCCACAACAGACAGACUCACCCCAUUGUGUACAGACAAGCACCACAGGCCACAGACCAUCACAUCAGGACACAGACUUGCCCAGCACUACACAGACACUCCCCAGAGCACGUAGACUCGCCCCACAAAGCACAGACUAAACCCAUACUACAGAGACUCUCCCUGUAGCUUUCAGACAAGUUUACCCCACCACAGAGACAUGCAACGGUACAUCUUACAACAUAUAUCACUCCUUGAUGCACACGAUUGUGCCACAGCACACAAACUUGUCCUACAGUGCACAAAUUCAUGUCACAAAAGACACACUCACCACACAAUACAAAUACUUGCUGCAGCCAGGAGCGGUGGCUCACGCCUGUUAUCCCAGCACUUUGGGAGGCCUAGGCAGGCGUAUCACCUGACGUUGGGAGUUCGAGACCAGUCUCACCAACAUGGAGAAAUCCCGUCUCUGCUAAAAAUACAAAAUUAGCCGGGCGUGGUGGCGCAUGCCUGUAAUCUCAGCUACUACGGGGGCUGAGGCAGGAGAAUCGCUUGAACCCAAGAGGCGGAGGUUGCAGUGAGCCAAGAUUGUGCCACUGCACUCCAGCCUGGGCAACAAGAGCAAAACUUCGCCUCAAAAAAAAAAAAAAAUUAAAAAAAAAUACCAGGAACAAAAACAAACAAAAAACCAAAUACUUGCUCCAGAGUUCACUCAUUUGCCCUAAAAUAUCUAGACCUUACCCCAGAGUUAGCACACAAUGCAUGCUGUGUCACUGCAUCACCAAAAUACAACUCAAACUCCUCAGACACACUCUGAUAAAUAGACAUACCUCACAAUGCACAGCUUGGCAUCAUAGCAGGAAAAACUGGCUCUACAACAGAUUUAUUCUACAACAGACACACUCAGGCUGUAGAGACACCUAAUCUUUCUUUAAGGUAUUCAGACCCACCCUUUUGGGCACAGUCACAGAUGCGAUCCGCGAUACCCUCACUCAUCCCACAAUACUGAUGCAACCCACAGCAUACAAACACAUACCACAGCAUAACACUCUAACCCCACAGUGCUCAGAAAUGUCAGGCACACACUUGCCGUACAGAUUUAUUUCACACACAAAAACAGCCAGGUGGGUGGCUCAUGCCUGAAAUCCCAGCACUUUGGGAGGCCGAGGCGGGUGGAUCACAAGGUCAGGAGUUCAAGACCAGCCUGUCCAGCAUGGUGAAACCCCGUCUCUACUAAAAAUACAAAAAAAUUAGCUGGGCAUGGUGGCACAUGCUUGUAGUUCCAGCUACUCAGGAGGCUGAGGCAGGAGAAUCACUUGAACCCGGGAGGUGGAGGUUGCAGUGAGCCAAGAUGGUGCCAUUGCACUCCACCUUGGGCAACAGAGUGAGACUUCGUCUAAAAAAAAAAAAAAAAAGAAACAAACAAAAAAAAACACUUCUUAUAGUGCCUAUACAAUGCAAACAUGUAUCCCAAAAUAAAUGAAACUAUUUGCUAUGUCACUCUUAGGUUUACCCCAAAGCACAUAGACCAUUUUCACUGCUCAAGCUGCUGCCUACAAAACAGGAGAGGCCAAGCCAUGCACAGAAAUUCACCAAAAUGCACAGAUUCACCCAUCAAUAUACAUACUUGCCUCACAACUCACACAAACACCACUGAGCACUGAGACUCACCCUAAAUGUACAGACAAGCCCUUCAGGGCACAGACUUACUCUGUAACAUACUAAAUCACAUCCCCCAUACUUAGAUGUGCCUUAUGAUUCACAGUGAUGCGUGUAAACACAUAGAUUGCUUCCACAAUGCACAGAAUUGCAUCAUAACACAGACUUACUCUACAGUGCAAAACCGACAGUGCACAUAAACAUUUCCCAGUCGGUAGACACACAACACACAUAUUACUCCUACAAUGUAAAGAUUUCCAUCAUGGUGGACAGACAUGCUUUUCCAUGCUGUUGAGCUACAACUCUGGCCUACAACAACAGAAAUACAGCUUGUGUAAUAGUUACCAGCAAGGCCUCUAGACCCAUACUAACUGGGUUUGAAUCAAGGUCCCAUCCCUUGCUGAUUGUAUCACCUUGGGUAAGUAUAUUUCUUUGUUCUUUAGUUUGUGCAACUGUAAAACAAAGAUAACAGUAGUGCCUACUUCAAAGAGUUGUUGUCAGUAAUAAAUACGUUAAGAUUUGUUAAGUGCUUAGUACAGUGCCUGGCACAUAGUGACUAUUAGAAUUGUUAAUUUAUAUUACAACCAUCACUAUCAUUACUACCAAAACAAAAAAGGCCUACCCCAGAUAUCUAGAAUCAUCUGACAACAAGAAGACUCACCAUAUAAUAUAUAGAUUAGCCCUAGAACGUCUAGAAACACUCGACAGCACACAGACACCCUGCCAUAGUACCCACAUACCCUACAGACCAGAACCCUAACCAGACAUCACUCACAACACACAGAAUUGCAUCACAAGUAACAAAUUUGUGCACAGGCUUGCUCUAUAACACAACCCACAAUACCCAGACUGGAAGCCAGGCUGUGUGUUGUACCCAGCCUCACCCAACAAGGCACAGGCCUACAACACACACACACACACACACACACACAUCCUAACCUCAUAGAUAUGCCCUACGUCACACAAACAUACCCUAUCACACAUAUAUUUUUGUUUCACAACAUGUGGAUACCCCUGCUCUUCACAAACAUGUUCCUAAAUACAUGCUCCUAAAAUUGGCAGCAUCACAUGAUAAUACAGAGCCCCCAUUCCACAACAUUUUUUUUUUUUUUUUGAGACGGUGUCUCACUCUGUUGCCCAAGCUGGAGUGCAGUGGCGCAAUCUCGGCUCACUGCAGCCUCCGCCUCCCAGGUUCAAGCAAUUCUCCUGCCUCAGCCUCCCGAGUAGCUGGGAAUACAGGCGCGUCCAUUCCUGGCUAAUUUUUUUGUAUUGUUAAUAGAGACGGGAUUUCGCCAUGUUGGCCAGGAUGGUCUUGAUCUCCUGACCUCGUGAUCCACCUGCCUCAGGCUCCCAAGGUGCUGGGAUUACAGGUGUGAGCGACCGCCCCCGGCCACAACGCAUUUUACACUUAUCUCAUGCUCGUCCCAUAAAGAACUACAUGCCCCACAUCGCCUAAGCUGCCCAUAAAUCUGACUUACCGAACACUACCACACAUAUGACCAGGCCCCACACCACACAGAUUUGCUCUGUAAUACCUAGAUAAGUCCUACCAUGCAGAGAUAUCCCCCUAAACACAAAACCAUCCCAAAUGCACAGCGUCAUAUCACAACAGACACACAAACUCAUCCUAUAACAUGCAGACUUGCAUGAAAACACCCAGACUCCCACAGAGCAGACCCACGCCCACAAUGCUAAUACCACACAGCGCCCAGACAGGCACAGGACAAAGACUAGCCUCAACUCAUCUAGUCUCAACCCACAUGAUAUAAAACUUGCUCUACAAUGGUUAAAAGCUUAUAUUCAGGUCUCAGACUGCCUGAGUUCCAGUCCCACAUGCAUCACUUACUAGUUGUGUGACCUUGGAAAGGUUUCUUGAACUCUCUGUGCCCCAGUUUUAUCAGCUAUUUGUUAGGAAUAAUAAUGUAAUAGGGGUACUUAUCUCUUAUAGCUGUUAAGAGGAAUAAAUGGGCUGGGCGCGGUGGCUCACACCUGUAAUCCCAGCACUUUGGGAGGCCGAGACGGGUGGAUUAGCUGAGGUCAGGAGUUCGAGACCAGCCUGACCAACCUGGAGAAAUCCCGUCUCUACCAAAAAUACAAAAUUAGCCGGGUGUGGUGGCGCAUGCCUGUAAUCCCAGCUACUUGGGAGGCCGAGGCAGGAGAAUCGCUUGAACCCGGGAGGCAGAGGUUGCGGUGAGCCAAGAUCAUGCCAUUGCACUCCAGCCUGGGCAACAAGAGCGAAACUCCGUCUCAAAGAAAAAAAAGACGAAUAAGUGAGUUAAUGCCUAUCACGUGUUUCGAGCAAUGCUUGGUAAAGAGAGUGUUAUUGGUGUUAGCUGAUCAGGUUGUCAUUGUUGUCGUUACUCCACAGGGAAUUGGACCAUAAAGGUAAGACUCAAUCUAAAGCAACUCGAAUCAACCCACAACGCAUGGAAUAUCCCUCAUAAAGCACAGAAUCGCAUCACAAUGAGUACUCUCACCACUCUUUUCCUGUAACACCCAUAUUGACUGCACCUAUUCUUUUUUUUUUUUUUUUUUUUUUGAGAUGGAGUCUCGCUCUUGUUGCCCAGGUUGGAGUGCAGUGGCGUGAUCUCGGCUCAUUGCAACCUCCGCAUCCUAGGUUCAAGCAAUUCUCCUGCCUCAGCCUCUCGCCUAGCUGGGAUUACAGGCCCGCCACCACACGCGGCUAAUUUUUGUACUUUUAGUAGAGAUGGGGUUUCGUCAUGUUGGCCAGGCUGGUCUCGAACUCCUGACCUCAGGUGAUCCACCCAUCUCUGUCUCCCAAAGUGCUGGGAUUACAGGCAUGAGCCACUGUGCCCAGCCUGACUGUACCUAUUCUAUAAUGCCUAGAAGCAUCUAUCAUAUAGAGUUUCUACAUAACACCUAGACUUAUCACACAACACCUAGACACACUACAAUGCACAACAUACCCAACAAACAGAAACUCAUUCACGAAAAGACUCAUCUCAGUUUAAGCAAAUGCACUCUAUCAUACACAUACAUGCUCUACAAUACACAUGCUCACCCCAGAACACCACGUUGGCUCCACAACACAAGGAACUCACUUCAAAAUCUCUAGAAACAAUCCACAAGCCUUAGACUUCUCCACUAUGCAGAACAGCAUCACACCACAUAAACUUGACUACAAUUAACAGACAAGAAACCAGGACAUGCGCCAUAACACAUACAUUAUCCCCAUGACAUAAAUACUGGUCCAGCAAAAUGCUAUCUUGCCUAUACAACACUAAGAUGUGCUUCAUAAAAUACAAACUUGUUUGACAGCACAAAUUAAAAUAUUUCAAAAUGCACAUAUAUACUCCAUAACACACAGAUUUGCUCUACAACACACUGACACACCCCAUAUCACCCAGACGUGACCCAAAACACAUGGCAAUACCCGAUAAACAGUCACUCUUUUUUUCUUUGAGACGGAGUCUUACUCUGUUACCCAGGCUGGAGUGCAGUGGCGCAAUCUCGGAUCACUGCAACCUCUGCCUCCCAGGUUCUAGCGAUUCUCCUGCUGCAGCCUCCCCAGUAACUGGGACUACAGGUGUGCACCUCCACGCUCAGCUAAUUUUUGUAUUUUUAAUAGAGACUAGGUUUCAUUUUGGCCAGGCUGGUCUCGAACUCCUGACCUCAGCUGAUCCACCUGCCUUGGCCUCCCAAAGUGCUGGAAUUACAGGCGUGAGCCACCGCGCCUGGCCUCAGUCUCUCCUUUUAACACACAGAUUGGCCACACAAAAUAGCCUCUUCCUGCCACGACUUCCCUCACAGCAGCACAUCCAACAAAGGAUGGUCCACAUACAGAGAAACACAAUGUGCAGAUAUGUUCUGCAACACACAGCCUUCCUGGACAAGACCUAGACUCGCCCGGAAACACCCAGAUCCAUUUUACAUCUUAAAGACUCACAUCCCAGGCCAGGUGUGGUGGCUCAAGCCUGUAAUGCCCGCACUUUGGGAGGCCGAGGUGGGCGGAUCACGAGGUUAGGAGUUCGAGACCAGCCUGGCCAACAUGGCGAAACCCUGACUCUACUAAAAAUACAAAAAUUAGCCGGGCAUAGUGGCGGGCACCUGUAAUCCCAGUACUCAGGAGGUUGAGGCAGGAGAAUCGAUUGAACCUGGGAGGUGGAGGUUGCGGUGAGCCAAGACCACACCAUUGCACUCCAGCCUGGGCGACAGAGCGAGACUCCGUCUCAAAAAAAAAAAAAAAAAAAGACUCAUAUCCCAGAUUAGUCUGCCAACCCAUGGACGUGCUCCACAAUGCAUGGAUAGAACCACAAUGCAUGGACAUGCCUUACAACACAUGGAACUACACAGGCUCUACCUUUAACACACAAACUGUCUCCAUGAAACACUUCCUUGUCUCUUCAAAACUUAGUUUAAAAUCAGACGAAAUGCUCAAAAAUACACACAGACUCAACAAGGCAUGGACAUACCCCACUUCAACUAGCCUUGUCCUGUAACACUGACACUCAUCUGAAACAUAAAGAUACAUUAUGCCACACCUAGAAUGGCCCCCCAGAGCCCAGACUAGCUCCAGAACACCCAAAUAGGAGCCACGGUAUAUGGACAUAACCCUACAUAUACAAAUCCUUCCUACAACAUAACGACUAAUCCCACAAAACACUUUCUUGCUCCAUAACACCGACACUUACCUCCCUGUGUGUAGAAUCUCUGGACAAUAUAGACACUUCCUACAAUUACAGAUAUGAUUCACAAUACUAAGACUUGCUGUAACACAUGCCAACUUCUCCAAGCCACACAGAAUCACAACAUUAUAUGUAUUAUCGGACAUGUCCGUAUAUUUUGGGGACAACUGAACUUAUCCCAUGACACCCAGGCCUUCCCCAAAAUACGUGGACGUGUCCCAUCAUACAUAUAAUUUCCAGACAACAAAGACUGGUCCUGAAAAAUAGGUUUUUUAUUUCAUAACACCAACACUUAGCUGAGAGCACACAGGUGUGCUGAGCAAAACAUGCAUAAAACCCCACGAUGCACAGACAUGCCCUGCAACACCCAAGGUCACUUCAUAACACACAAUCUCACUGCAGUACACUGACCCAGGGACUCACCCUGAGACACUCAGACUAACACAUCACAUCCAGAUCUACCCCCACCUAAUCCUAAUUGCCUCAUGUCACUAGACUUACAUUGCAAUAGCGAGACUUGACCUGCAAUAGUCUGAUUUGUCCCAUAACAACUAGACAAGACUAUCCACACAAUACAUACAAAGACCCCCAAAAUGUUUGCUUGUCUCCACAACACUGACAGUUUCUUAAGAACACACACAGAUGCUGGAAAAUACACAACCAAGUCCUACAGCACCAAGAUAUGCGCCUGUAAUACCUAGAUUUGCCACACAACACCCAGAAUGGCCCUGCAGAACUCCAGAAUGCACCACAAGAAGAAUAUAUGCCUUGCAACACCAGAGCAUGCCUUACACCAGCAGUCCCCAACCUGUUUGGCACCAGGGACCACUUUUGUGGAAGAAGUUUUUCCACGGACUGGGGGUGAGGUGGGAGGGGUGGUUUUGGGAUGAAACUGUUCCGCCUCGGAUCAUCAGGCAUUAGAUUCUCAUAAGGAGUACACAACCUUGAUCCCUCUCAUGCACGGUUCACAAUAGUGUUCACACUCGUAUGAGAAUCUAAUGCUGUAGCUGAUCUGACAGGAGGCAGAGCUCAGGUGGUAAUGCUUGCUCACUCACUGCUCGCCUCCUGCUGUGUGGCCUGGUUCCUAGCAGGCCAUGGAGUGGUACUGGUCCGUGGCCCAGGGCUUGGGGACCCCUGCCUUACACCACAUGGCGUGCUCCAUAAUACACAAAAACAGUCCUAAUAACAUAGACUGACUCUAUACUUACUUGCCUCAAUAACAUUAAGACAUGCCUUAGACCACAUAGAAAUGUUAGAUAACAUACAGAAAAAACACAUAAAUAACAGACAUGCCCUGUAACACUUACACUCACCUCAUAGCACUCAGGUUCGCCUGUGACAGCUAGAUUUACCCCCAAAAUACCUAUACCUACCCCACAGCACCCAGACAUGCUGCACAUAACCAGAAACAUCUCAUAUCACUCAAACACCUUCCAACAGUCAGACUUGCCUGGCAACCCAGACUGUCCUACAAUACAUAGUAAAAUGGCCCACAGCCAAGAGACUUCUCACAACUUACAGACUGGCCACAAAAAGCAUCUUUUUGCUUUCACAAAAUCAAGACUUUCCACACAGCACAUAGAAACAAUGGACAAAGUUCAGAAAACCCCAGAGUGUACCGGUAUGCCUCAUAACAUCCAGAGUCACCCCAUAACACAGGACCUAGACUGGCCCCGAUAAAAUAGAAUUAAUACCCACAAUAAACAAACAUGCCCUCUAAUAUAUGAAUUCAUCACACAACAUGCACACUGUCCCCACAAACACCUUUUUGGUGUCAAGAAGAAAAAGACUAGCUUCACAGAACAGAGAAAUGCUGGACAGUGCACCUGCAGUUAAAAAAAAAAAAAACAACCUCACAGACAUAGCAUUCAUCACCCGAAUGCGUUACAUAGUAACAUGGUAACAGGCAUCAUCUUAUGACACACGUAUCUACCCCCCAGCACCAGAGUAGCUCCAUAAAAUACCUUCUUGCUUUUACAGUGCGAAGACUCGCCUCAUAGCACAAGUCUGACGUGCUGGAGAACACUCAGACGAAACCCUUAACAUACAUAAAUAUCACCCAGAUUCACUCCACAACAUGAAAUCUAACCCCAUGAAACCCGUGAUAGUCCACAAAACCAGACACGCCUUAUAUCACCCAGUCUAGCUUCACAACAGCCAGGCGUAAUGCAAACUCGCCCCCACAACUCAUGAAAAUACUCCACACCCAACAAACCUUCCCCCCACACAGAACCUUGCCGGGGCAAAACAAAUGCAAUGGCUCACGCCUGUAAUCCCAGCACUCUGGGAGGCUGAGGCAGGCGGAUCACCUGAGGUGGGGAAUUUGAGACCAGCCUGACCAACGUGGAGAAACCCCGUCUCUACUAAAAAUACAAAAUUAGUCGGGCGUGGUGGCACACGCCUGUAAUCCCAGCUACUUGGGAGGCUGAGGCAGGAGAACCGCUUGAACCCGGGAGGCGGAGGUUGCAGUGUUGUGCCAUUACACUCCAGCCUGGGCAACAGACGGAAACUCCAUCUCAAAAAAAAAAAAAAGAAAAAACUUCAUGACACUGUCAUACCAAGACUUGCUUCAGAGCACACACAAAAGAUAUAAAAGGAUUGAAAACAUACAGAACAACCUUGCAAUGUGAAGAUAUACACCAGUACUCACCUCUCAUUACAGAAAGUCAUACAACAAGAUCCCUGCUGGUUCCAUGAUACACACACACACAUUCCAUAUACACACACAUUCCAUACACACACACACAGACACAUUCCAUACACACACACAUUCCAUACACACACAGACACAUUCCAUACACACACAGACACACAUUCCAUAAACAGCAACACAUUCCAUACACAUACACAGAUACAUUCCGUGCACACACACACACACUCCAUACACACACACAUUCCAUACACACACACAGACACAUUCCAUACACACACACAUUGCAUACACACACAUUCCAUACACACACAGACACAUUGCAUACACACACACAUUCCAUACACACAUUCCAUACACAGACACAUUCCAUAAACAGCAGCACAUUCCAUACACAUACACAGAUACAUUCCAUGCACACACACACACAUCCCAUACACACACACAUUCCAUACACAUGCACACAAACACAUACCAUACACAGAGACACAUUCCAUAGACAGACACAUUCCAUACAGAUACACACAUAUUCCAUACACACAGACACAUUCCAUACACACACACACAUCCCAUACACACACACACAGGCACAUUCCAUACACACACACAUUCCAUACACACACACAUUCCAUACACACACACACAGACAUAUUCCAUAAUCACACACACAUUCCAUACACACACACAGGCACAUUCCAUACACAUACACAUUCCAUACACACACACAGACAUUCCAUACACACACACAUUCCAUACACACACACAGACAUUCCAUACACACACAUUCCACACACACACACGUUCCAUUCACACACAUUCCAUAUCAGCACACACACACACAUUCCAUACACCCACAUUCCAUACACAUACACAGACACACAUUCCAUACACACACAUUCCAUACACACACACACUCACAUUCCAUACACACAAACACAUUCCAUACACACACACAUUCCAUACACACACAUUCCAUACACACACACACACAUUCCAUACACACACACAGAUUAAUUCCAUACACACACACACAUUCCAUACACACACACACAUUCCAUACACACACACAGACUAAUUCCAUACACAGAGACACAUUCCAUACCCACACGCAGACACAUUCCAUACACACACACAUUCCAUACACACACACAGACACAUUCUCUACACACACACACACACAGACACAUUCGAUACACACACACAGACACA